rnacentral:rRNA from 1 species
AUAGAGACCGGCAAACGGGUGCGUAACACGUACGCAACCUACCUUAAAGUGGAGGAUAGCCUUUGGAAACGAAGAUUAAUACUCCAUAAUAUCAUAAUGCGGCAUCGUAUAAUGAUUAAAGAAUUUCGCUUUAAGAUGGGCGUGCGCCUGAUUAGAUAGUUGGUGAGGUAAUGGCUCACCAAGUCAACGAUCAGUAGCUGAUGUGAGAGCAUGAUCAGCCACACGGGCACUGAGACACGGGCCCGACUCC